AGAAAAUAUCGUGUACUCAGCAUGCACUUCAGGAUUUCAUUUCCUUCCGCAAAGGUUGUGAAGGAUGUAGUCAACAAGAUUUGCUGUGAACAAGCACCUGAGCACAGUGCAGAACCAGAGAAAGAGAAUGCUUUGAAGCAGCAGAGAUACGUGGAGUUAGGAAAGGGACAGAAAGCCUUGUAUGCAUUUACAGCCUAAAGAAUGGUUUUGAUGAGGAAGACAGAGGACCUGACUCACCUCUGUUACCUUUACAUCAGCACGUGGUAUGUGCACAGCUCUGCCACCCUACUGAUGGAAAUGACUGCAUUAGGUGUAGGGCUGAGAGCUGCUCUGAGAGGUCAAGGACCUCUAGCACAGGUAAGAUUGUAGCACAUUGGAUGUUGAGCUGAUCCAAAGGACUCCCCGAUAAGCUGUAUCAUUGACUGGAAAGCAGGAACUGAGGUGUACUCGAUGUAAAGAAGAAUUAGCGGGUGAUUUUCAUAUGGUAGCUGUAGUAAACAGCAGCCAAACUACAGUUCAGAGACCACAAUCAUUAAAGCAAUAUGAAACUGGUUUGUGUUGGCAUUUCCACAGUCUCUGCAUUGUGUAGCUUUUGUAGCUCACCUGCAUGUGAAUUUUCUUAGCUUUUAAAAUAGCUUCAACCUCAAGAACUGCAGCACCUGUUAGUUAUCAAAAGAGGGCAUGUGGCCAUAAACAUAAAGCAAGAACUAAAUGUGGUUAUAAAGAAGCCAGACCAAUAAUAACUAAUGAGAUAGUCUUAAUAGAAGCAGUAUUUAUUUCCUUUUGUAGGCACGCACAUUUGACGCACCACCCAUUGCUGGGGUGUCUCCUUGAACGUGCUUUUUUCUACACCAUAGACUGGUAUUUUCUACAGAACGAACACAAAGAUCGUCUGGUGAAAUCCUUUCCUCCCAUUUACAGUUGCACACCGUCCAGGUAUUGCUCUUCAGGUGGCAGCCUAAAGGUGUGCAGCUCUCUGGUACCUGCCUCCUUUUCUUUUAGCUACACGACUCCUUUCUCAUGCAGACGCUGCGGUGAUUCUUACAUCACCUGGUUACUUUGCCCUUUUCUUUCACUCUUCUGAAUGUUUUCUUUUCUUGGCUAUCUCUGACUUCUGUUUCCUCUGCACCUUCUGUUAGGCCUCUAGCAGAAGCAAUAAGACUAAUCUUUCCUAAUUCCCAGCUGGUUUGUAGGUCUUUUGCUUUGUCUUCUCACGAAAGCGCCUGCAUGCCAGCUGUAGCAACAGCUGAAAACAAGGAAAAAUCAUCACUCUCUGACUGCCUUAUUUCUCUGUGGAUGAUGGAGAAGUUCUGGUUGGGCUGUAAGCGAUCAAUGAUCUGCAGUUUGAGAAUUUUCCAGGCCCUGAAGUAUUUCUUAGAUAACAUUUCACUGUGAGAAGUGUAAGGUUGCAUUCACAAUUGGUAUUUCUUUCUUGCUUUAAGGGAGAGGGGGGAUGCACUCAGGUGUGCGAGAGGAACAAUUCUGAUUCUGUAGAAAGGGCAGACGCAGGGCCUGAUUAUGGCAGCAGUGUCAUUACUGCAUGUGAACGUGAUUUGCAAAUGUAACACAAUGUGACCACGAGUGUGGUUCAUUGGUACAGAUCAGUUUCAUGAUUCAGGUCUGCUGACAGCAAUACGGCAGUUCUGGUGAACCAAGUUGCAGGCUGUUCUUUACUUUUUAAUGCUUCCUGCUGUCCUUGAAUCCUUUACAGAACAUCUUUUAGAUUAAUCAGAGGCUGCUUUGUCUUCAUGUCUUCCUGUGCUUUUUGAUGAUCUCCUGAUCUCAAAUAAGCUGUUGAACACUACAUAAUUGUCUUAGAACGCGACCAAAUGGAAGUAAAGUACAAUGUGUGCUUUUCUCCCCUUUCCAGCAUUAGUCCGUGUUUGCGUCUAAGGUAGAGUUUUAGGAGUCUAGACUGAGUGUAUUCCUUACACUCUACAAGACCAAAACAAAUACGUAUGUGCAUAAACAGGCACGUGUGGGUAAAAACUGAUGACUGAAAAUGUGAUUGCUGGACUCUGCAAUGAAAUGUUGGGUGCAAUGCUUGUGGGGAGAAGACUCAGUCCUGUGGUGGUUGAAGCCUGCAGUCUGUCUUGCUUUCAGCGUCUAGGCUCCAGUUCACUGAAAAAAUUUAAGACUUUAUUUAUCCACAUUUAUGAUGUGAAUGUUUCUUGUGCUAAAGUAAUGCUAGUGCUUGAAUGCUUUUCUAACUGGUAUGCAAGGUAGGGAGUGAAGUAAGAUUAAGUGAGUUUCUCAGAGUGAGUUGCACUGUGUGCUAUCCUGGCCAUCCUGCUUGCAGUUUUCACCUCCCAGCUAAACCUUUUAAUGGAAACAGUUUCCAGCAGCUUAAUCGUGUAAACUGAUUUAUGGGGAUAAAUAAAAAAAAUAACUAGAUUCAGAUUUAGAUCAAGUAAAUACUGAAGGCUUCCACAAGGGCUAUGCUACCUUAAUACUGAGAGAGUUUUUCUUAACUGCCUCUUCCUUAAAGAGCAAUAACUCUUUGUGUAGACAAUGAAUUUUUCCUUCAAGGCAAUUCUGUUAUUUCCUUCCCAGGUCAGUUGUCUGAGGACACAACAGAUCCGAGUGUCCCACUGGAUAUGUACCAUCUUAAAGGCUCACUGUGAAAUCUGUUGAGCUGGGGAAGCUCAAUGAGUUCAUCUGGCACUCCUUCCUAACAGCCUGUCUGUCACUUGCUGGUGACCAAGAGAGCUUGGAAAUGCCAUCUGUGAGAGGGCUUAUGCCCCACCUUGGAUGGAAAGUGCUGAGCUUGUCCCUCCAUGAGAAGGUGUUCCCCAAGGACCUACUCUGAAAUCUGUAAUGCUAUGGACGCUAAAUUGGGUCAAAUGUUUGUGCUUCUUCCCAGUGUUUUAACUCACUGCCAUUUUCUUGCUUUUAGAGAAGCAGUUAGAAAAAAACUACCCCUUUUUUUAUGUGUGUGUGUGUAUGAGUGCUCUCCAAAGUAAUGGUGGUGGCACUGGUGUACUUACGUGGCACCAGAAAAUCAUGAUAAUCCUUUCAGUACAGGAUAAUUAUUUGGCUUUACUGCUGUAUCCCUUGUAGCUGGAUAUCCAUUUUCCUUUGCUAACAUAUGCUUGUCCUGUUCAAUAGCAAUUUGUUCUGAAAAUGCUUGCAUGCCUGCUGGGCAAGCUACAUGAAUCCAGUGCAGACUCCUUUUUUGCACCUAAAAAUUAUUAUGUGGAAAACCAUUUGCAAAAUGUGAGGCAUUCAGAAGGCUGCGUGCAGUUUUUCCAGGAGAAGCCGAGGGACAUUGGAAAAUCUAGACUUUAAUUUGUAGGGUACAAUAAAUUGUAGUCAGAUGAAUAAGUCCGUAUCUGCCUCAGCACAUUCUGGAUUACUUCGGUAUUACACAAACAAACUAAUUGCACAGCCUGCAGAAUAAUCACAUCUGUUCACCCGUAACAACACAGCUCAAUCUCGGUUUCAUGGCUUAAAAUAAUGCUCCUUGCUUUCAUAUGCUUCCUCAUAUUACCAGCUGCAAGUCUCUCUGAACCAGCAUGGCUCCUGAGGUAAUUGGUAGUAACACUUGUGUAUAAAGAUGUCAAAGCGCUGCUUGUUGGAGCUCAGCUUCAGGAAAGUGGAACUCUCUGCUUCGAUUCUUAGCUCUUUCACUAACUUGGCUAAGUCCAAAAAGGAAGGAAAACCAAACGAGAGCAGGUGGCACCACAGCCAGCCUGAGAGCCAACCUAAAGUAGUUUUUUUAAGGUAUUUUGAGAUCCUCGUGUUAGCAGCUCGUGCUUGUAAGGUGUGGGCAGAGCAGUGCUUGACAACGUGGGCAGGCUUGUCUGCAAGCAAGGGACUCCCACAUCAGAAAACGGAGGAUGUUUUGCUUUUAGUCUUCAUUGAGAUGGGAGGUGGGAAAUAAAUAAAGAGCUGAUACAGCAUCAGUAUGAGAAGCUUUUCUUGCUGGGUAGCUGACAGGUGCCCCAGAGGCUGGGCUGGAAGCACUGUUCCCAGGCACAGGUCUCAUCUGCUCAUUAGCAAUGACAGAAGCACCGAGCCGUGUCAUGCAGGGCAGUGUACCGGGCAGGGCCUCCUGCUCUGUAUGCUCAAACUUAACACUGCAUUGUCGUCCAGAGGACUCGGUGGAGGCGCAGCCAGCAGUCUCCUGGAGGGCUGUGGCUGUGGCUAUGAUGGUCGGCCUUGGGAUGACCAAAGAGACCAUCACUGCGUGUUCUCACGUUGCGCGGGUAGGAGCAGGACGAGUCAUUUCUUGAGGCUAGACAGGUGAGAGUGGCCAGGAUUUGUUUCCUAACGUCCGUCGUGCAGGUCAGAUGGGUCGGAACGCCUCCCCCAUCACGCUAAACCUCAUCUCGCCCAACCGAGACCUCAGUCCCACUCCCCCGCGUCCGGCCCUGCGGAGGUUCUCCGGCUGCCGCCGGUGCCACCCGCUCGGCCCCGGGCCGGCUGCGUGCCGUUGGCACCUCAGCGGGCAGGGCACCGCCGGCAGCCGCGCUUUGCUGACUGCUCCGUUUCAUUUCCUUACUUCGCAACUUGUAGCAGUAAGUUUCUGAAGAGAAACCCGUCUCCAAACCCAGCCACGCGCACCCGUCUGCGCGUCUGUUUUACACCCGAACGGCUCGGAGACGGCCCUCCUGCCCUGCCGCCCUGCCCCCGAGGCCGCGGGGUCCCGCCGAGCCCUUUGUCCCCGCGCCGCUCGGAUGGAUGCUGUCACGCUCGCGCGGCUGCCAUGAUCCCGCCCGGCGCGUCCCCG
ensembl:lncRNA